AUACGUAGGGGGCUAGCGUUAUCCGGAAUUACUGGGCGUAAAGAGUGCGUAGGUGGUUUCUUAAGUCAGAAGUGAAAGGCUACGGCUCAACCGUAGUAAGCUUUUGAAACUAAGAGACUUGAGUGCAGGAGAGGAGAGUAGAAUUCCUAGUGUAGCGGUGAAAUGCGUAGAUAUUAGGAGGAAUACCAGUUGCGAAGGCGGCGCUCUGGACUGUAACUGACACUGAGGCACGAAAGCGUGGGGAGCAAACAGGAUGAGAUACCCUGGUAGUCCACGCCGUAAACGAUGAGUACUAGCUGUCGGGGGUUACCCCCCUCGGUGGCGCAGCUAACGCAUUAAGUACUCCGCCUGGGAAGUACGCUCGCAAGAGUGAAACUCAAAUGAAUUGACGGGG
rnacentral:rRNA from 1 species